UGCAGCGGAAAAAACAGCGAACCAAAACCAUAACAACUGCAAUAACAACUGCCAGCUCAUAGUGGCCACAAGUGGAGGUUGUUCCUUACUUAUUUCUGUUGCUUUCGGUUUUUGCUCCAGCCAGCAACUGAAGCAAAAAGGCGCAACCUGAUUGGAUCUCUUCACUUGCAGCGGCCACGGAAGGAGUCGGUUUAAGCCAGCGAAGGAGCCCCAACCGAGAGGCAUGCCCCAUUGGACCGAAACUGCGCCAAAAGCGGAGAGAGAGAUGCAACGUGAUGCUUGUUGGUAAUAAAAUUGGUGCUUAAACGAAUCCACUCACAGCCAUUUAGCAAUAUCAGACAUGGCUGUAAAAUUAACAGAGCAACACAGCGAUCCGCGAUGGAGCAACUGGCAACCAGCAACUUGCAACUUGCAACCAGGGAACGGCCUCGAGUUCCGUCCAUGCAAUUAUUUCCCCACCACGCCCCGCCACGUUGCAGUUGCAGUUGUUAAUGAUGCCGCGCUGUAAAAUGGCAGACUGGUUCUCCAGCCAUUGCGUCUGCUGCAUCCACCAUCCAGCAUCCAGCAUCAAGUAUCCAGCAUCCAACAUUCAGGCCCCCAAAAAACACUUAGCAACACCCACUUUUUCGAUCACGACCACAGAAUCCGAGGGUGCAGUGUGCAACGCCAGUUUGGAGAAUCAAACUCGAGGCACAGGAACAUUUGCCAGCACAGCUUUUGGAAACACUGUUGGCUUAGGAGAAGAGCUCAGAAAUUUGUGAUUACCGACGAAUGAGCUGUUGUAUUGAGAUUUUGGAAAUUCUGACAAGCCAAAUGGAUAUCGAAGAAUGGACAGGCAGGCGGCGGGGGAAAUGUUAACUGGCAACUGGCAACUGGCAACUGGCCGCCACAUGAUCGACUGUUGCACGAUCGCAUUAAUUUAUUAAUUUAAUGGCAAAAACGUUAUGGCCAGAAAUCGAGGAGGAUCAUGGAGAAGGAGGCAAUUUACCCAGGGGCGCACACACACGGGGCGUUUCUAACAAUUUUAUGCCAGAUGAGCGCCUAAGUGAUCGCGAUCGCAGCCUUGCCCCUCGGGGUUCCCUUCGUCGAUUGGGGAAAGGACCUGCUUCCCAUGGCCAUCGAAGUACAGAUUCAAUACACAUGGAAAAAAAUAUAAAACCCAACUUUUAAGUGUUUUUUUUUUCACACAGCAACUUGGAAGAUAGAAUACUAAGCUUUAACUGCUUCAAAUAUUUCCAUAAAUUGUAUU
ensembl:ncRNA lncRNA:CR45550 long non-coding RNA:CR45550